GACAGAGGGUGCAAACGUUGUUCGGAAUUACUGGGCGUAAAGCGCGUGUAGGGCUGCUUGGAAAGUCGGAUGUGAAAGCCCUGGGCUCAACCUAGGAAGUGCAUUCGAAACUUCUGAGCUUGAGUAUCGGAGAGGAAGGCGGAAUUCUCGGUGUAGAGGUGAAAUGCGUAGAUAUCUGGAGGAAUACCGGUGGCGAAGGCGGCAUCCUGGACCGGCAUUGACGCUGAGUGAGCGAAAAGCCAGGGGAGCAAAGCGGG
rnacentral:rRNA from 1 species